rnacentral:rRNA from 1 species
AGUCAACGCUGGCGGCGUGCCUCAGACAUGCAAGUCGAACGAUUAAGACUUCCUUCGGGAAGUGCAUAAAGUGGCGCACGGGUGAGUAACACGUAAGUAAUCUACCCUCGAGUGGGGAAUAACGUUCGGAAACGGACGCUAAUACCGCAUAACGCAGCGGCACCGCAAGGUGACAGUUGUUAAAGGAGUAAUUCGCUUGAGGAGGAGCUUGCGGCAGAUUAGCUUGUUGGAAGGUAACGGCUUACCAAGGCUACGAUCUGUAUCCGGUCUAAGAGGACGGUCGGACACACUGACACUGAAUAACGGGUCAGACUCCUACGGGAGGCAGCAGUCGGGAAUUUUGGGCAAUGGGCGAAAGCCUGACCCAGCAACGCCGCGUGAAGGAUGAAGUAUUUCGGUAUGUAAACUUCGAAAGAAUGGGAAGAAUAAAUGACGGUACCAUUUAAUAAGCUCCGGCUAACUACGUGCCAGCCG